CAUGAUUCAGAGGUUUCAUCGGUAUUGGAAAGCUGAAACUACAAGGAAGUGGCUGCUGAAUGUCCUCCUCACGCGCUCGCUCUCCACCUUCCGGGACAGAAGUUUCCCUGGAAACCCGCCGCGAUGGUGAAGCAGAUGGAGGGAGGCAGGGUGAAGAGCAAAGACCACAUGUUAUAAAACGGGAACACUUGCUUUUAUACAUCGAGGAUUCGAUUACUGGAAGUCUGAGCUUCCCUACGGUAGCUGAGAAAUAAAGCCACGGAUAAGAGUCAACAAAAUGACCAACAAAGAGACCUUCAAGGGAUCCAGAUCCUGGGACUGUUGCGGGAAGAC
rnacentral:lncRNA from 1 species